ACAAACUAAGAUUGGUACCUUAACCAAUCUCCUCCUCUGCCUCCGCCUCCUCUCUUCCUCCUCAGUAGCCUCAAAAUUGGUACCUUAACCAAUCUCCUCCUCUGAUUUGUCUCAUCUCAUCACGAAGACUGGUUAGUCCUCUGAUUCUAGUUUAAUUUUAGAAAGCGAUUUCUUAUGGGUUUUUCAGAUUACCGACCAUAAUUUCUUGGGUAAAUUGUAAAUUUAUCUCUUUAAACAUUUUGUUCUCUUCCAUUCCUUGAUUGAUUUUGCAUUCUUUUGUCAAAAUGGUGGUGCAGAAUACAAAGUCAGUUUUAUCUUUUCUUGAAGAAGCAACAUGUAAUCAAUUUUUUGGGUUUUCGUCGACUUGAUCUGGUCUUUUUUUUUUUCUGACUCAUCGGUUUCUUAUCGUCAAUAACCCUCAAUCUUUUUUAUAUCUUUAGGUCUUGUGUUGUAUUUCUCUCACCUCAAAUCCCUAGAUGCCUAUGUCACCGAUGCUUCACCUUGUUUUCCUUUAUGAAAAACAUUUUAGUUAAAUAUAUUUUGUAAGAUAAAAUAGAAGUUGUAUUAUUUUGGCCACAACAAAACAUUUUCUCCGUAUCAUGGAAUAAUCUAUACAUAAAUAUUAUCAAACUGUAUUUUAGAUUUUAAUGGGCCAUAAGAUGAAAACUUUUAUUAAUUGGAUCGGUAGGAAUUAUUUAAAUCCGAUGUUGGCCCAUUAACAAUAUUAUCUUCGUAAAGAUGUAUUCGGGAAAACAAAGAGACAGCAAAAUACAAACAGUCAAAUGAUAUGCAGAGUGUUUUGUCGGUUUGAGGGAAAAAAAAUUACACAGAGUUUUGUCUGAUCGAGCAAAUAUCGAAUCGAGACACCUAAUCCAUAUCGGAUAUCUCUGAGGCAAUGAUAUUCAAGAUCGGAAUCCCAGUUAAAGCAACAUGAUCGGAUUUAUUCUCGAUUAAUCUGAUCAGCUGUCUUUUUGUAUUUCUCUGAUUUCGAUUUCAAAGGACAAGUAAGGUUUUUUGAAGGCUUUGAGCUCGAAAACAGGUGUAAAACCAUCGGUGGCCGCUAUGACUACGAUUAAAAAAGGUUUAAGAAGAAGAGGAUGUUUGGAUACACGCCUAAUUUAACUACGAUCCGAGUGACAUAAUCCCAAACAGAUCAGAUCCGCGUCUUUUGUAUAGAUUGUAUUACAUCUUUGCCCUUAAAUUUUCUUUUUCUUUUCUUGCUUUAUUUCGGCGUAGGGGCAAUCUGUGGAAUAUUUGUUAAUUUUUUUUUUGGGUUUUUGCUUUUGUACUCUCCAAUUAAUAGUAUAGAUAUAAUCCUUUUU